UACGUAGGGUGCAAGCGUUGUCCGGAAUUAUUGGGCGUAAAGAGCUCGUAGGCGGUUUGUUGCGUCGGCUGUGAAAUCCCGAGGCUCAACCCCGGGCGUGCAUUCGAUACUGCGCGGCUCGAGACAGGUAGGGGAGAUCGGAAUUCCUGGUGUAGCGGUGAAAUGCGCAGAUAUCAGGAGGAACACCGGUGGCGAAGGCGGAUCUCUGGGCCUGUUCUGGCGCUGAGGCGCGAAAGCUAGGGGAGCGAACAGG
rnacentral:rRNA from 1 species